AUUGAACGCUGGCGGCGUGCCUAACACAUGCAAGUCGAGCGGUAACAGGUGUAGCAAUACAUGCUGACGAGCGGCGAACGGGUGAGUAAUGCUUUGGAAUCUUCCCAGUAGUGGGGAAUAACCAGUCGAAAGAUUGGCUAAUACCGCAUACGUCUGUAAAGGGAAAGCGGGGGCUCGUAAGACCUCGCGCUAUUGGACGAGCCAAAGUCGGAUUAGCUAGUUGGGGGGUAAUGGCCUACCAAGGCGACAAUCCGUAGCUGGUCUGAGAGGACGACCAGCCACACCGGAACUGAGACACGGUCCGGACUCCUACGGGAGGCAGCAGUGGGGAAUAUUGGACAAUGGGGGAAACCCUGAUCCAGCGACGCCGCGUGUGUG
rnacentral:rRNA from 1 species